ensembl:snoRNA SNORD14 Small nucleolar RNA SNORD14
UCACUAUGAUUAAUAUCCUAGCAUUCACAGUUACCACCAGAAAAGUUUUUCCUCAUGCUGGCCAGUUCUUGGAGGCCUAAGUGA